rnacentral:rRNA from 1 species
AUGAACGCUAGCUACAGGCUUAACACAUGCAAGUCGAGGGGCAGCAUGAACUUAGCUUGCUAAGUUUGAUGGCGACCGGCGCACGGGUGAGUAACACGUAUCCAACCUGCCGAUGACUCGGGGAUAGCCUUUCGAAAGAAAGAUUAAUACCCGAUGGCAUAGUUCUUCCGCAUGGUGGAACUAUUAAAGAAUUUCGGUCAUCGAUGGGGAUGCGUUCCAUUAGGUUGUUGGCGGGGUAACGGCCCACCAAGCCUUCGAUGGAUAGGGGUUCUGAGAGGAAGGUCCCCCACAUUGGAACUGAGACACGGUCCAAACUCCUACGGGAGGCAGCAGUGAGGAAUAUUGGUCAAUGGACGAGAGUCUGAACCAGCCAAGUAGCGUGAAGGAUGACUGCCCUAUGGGUUGUAAACUUCUUUUAUACGGGAAUAAAGUGAGGCACGCGUGCCUUUUUGUAUGUACCGUAUGAAUAAGGAUCGGCUAACUCCGUGCCAGCAGCCGCGGUAAUACGGAGGAUCCGAGCGUUAUCCGGAUUUAUUGGGUUUAAAGGGAGCGUAGGCGGACGCUUAAGUCAGUUGUGAAAGUUUGCGGCUCAACCGUAAAAUUGCAGUUGAUACUGGGUGUCUUGAGUACAGUAGAGGCAGGCGGAAUUCGUGGUGUAGCGGUGAAAUGCUUAGAUAUCACGAAGAACUCCGAUUGCGAAGGCAGCCUGCUGGACUGUAACUCACGCUGAUGCUCGAAAGUGUGUGUAUCAUACAGGAUUAGAUACCCUGGUAGUCCACGCCGUAAACGAUGAAUACUAGGUGUUGGGAAGCAUUGCUUCUCGGUGCCGUCGCAAACGCAGUAAGUAUUCCACCUGGGGAGUACGCCGGCAACGGUGAAACUCAAAGGAAUUGACGGGGGCCCGCACAAGCGGAGGAACAUGUGGUUUAAUUCGAUGAUACGCGAGGAACCUUACCCGGGCUUGAAUUGCAACUGAAUGAUGUGGAGACAUGUCAGCCGCAAGGCAGUUGUGAAGGUGCUGCAUGGUUGUCGUCAGCUCGUGCCGUGAGGUGUCGGCUUAAGUGCCAUAACGAGCGCAACCCUUAUCGAUAGUUACCAUCAGGUUAUGCUGGGGACUCUGUCGAGACUGCCGUCGUAAGAUGUGAGGAAGGUGGGGAUGACGUCAAAUCAGCACGGCCCUUACGUCCGGGGCUACACACGUGUUACAAUGGGGGGUACAGAAGGCAGCUACACGGCGACGUGAUGCUAAUCCCUAAAGCCUCUCUCAGUUCGGAUUGGAGUCUGCAACCCGACUCCAUGAAGCUGGAUUCGCUAGUAAUCGCGCAUCAGCCACGGCGCGGUGAAUACGUUCCCGGGCCUUGUACACACCGCCCGUCACACCAUGGGAGUUGGGAAUGCCCGAAGCCAGUGACCUAACCGUAAGGAAGGAGCUGUCGAAGGCAGGCUCGAUAACUGGGGUG